rnacentral:rRNA from 1 species
UAGGGAAUCUUCGGCAAUGGACGAAAGUCUGACCGAGCAACGCCGCGUGAGUGAAGAAGGUUUUCGGAUCGUAAAACUCUGUUGUUAGAGAAGAACAAGGACGUUAGUAACUGAACGUCCCCUGACGGUAUCUAACCAGAAAGCCACGGAUAACUACGUGCCAGCAGCCGCGGUAAUACGUAGGUGGCAAGCGUUGUCCGGAUUUAUUGGGCGUAAAGCGAGCGCAGGCGGUUUCUUAAGUCUGAUGUGAAAGCCCCCGGCUCAACCGGGGAGGGUCAUUGGAAACUGGGGGACUUGAGGGCAGAGGAGGAGAGUGGAAUUCCAUGUGUAGCGGUAAAAUGCGUAGAUAUAUGGAGGAACACCGGUGGCGAAGGCGGCUCUCUGGUCUGUAACUGACGCUGAGGCUCGAAGGCGUGGGGGGCAAACAGA